rnacentral:rRNA from 1 species
AACGCUAGCUACAGGCUUAACACAUGCAAGUCGAGGGGAAACGACAUCGAAAGCUUGCUUUUGGUGGGCGUCGACCGGCGCACGGGUGAGUAACGCGUAUCCAACCUGCCCACCACUUGGGGAUAACCUUGCGAAAGUAAGACUAAUACCCAAUGAUAUCCCACGAAGGCAUCCGAAUGGGAUUAAAGAUUUAUCGGUGAUGGAUGGGGAUGCGUCUGAUUAGCUUGUUGGCGGGGUAACGGCCCACCAAGGCUACGAUCAGUAGGGGUUCUGAGAGGAAGGUCCCCCACAUUGGAACUGAGACACGGUCCAAACUCCUACGGGAGGCAGCAGUGAGGAAUAUUGGUCAAUGGGCGAGAGCCUGAACCAGCCAAGUAGCGUGCAGGACGACGGCCCUAUGGGUUGUAAACUGCUUUUAUAAGGGAAUAAAGUGGGUCUCGUGAGACUUUUUGCAUGUACCUUAUGAAUAAGGACCGGCUAAUUCCGUGCCAGCAGCCGCGGUAAUACGGAAGGUCCGGGCGUUAUCCGGAUUUAUUGGGUUUAAAGGGAGCGUAGGCCGGAGAUUAAGCGUGUUGUGAAAUGUAGUGGCUCAACCUCUGCACUGCAGCGCGAACUGGUCUUCUUGAGUACGCACAACGUGGGCGGAAUUCGUGGUGUAGCGGUGAAAUGCUUAGAUAUCACGAAGAACUCCGAUUG